CAAUAGCGUAUAUUAAAGUUGUUGCGGUUAAAAAGCUCGUAGUUGGAGUUCUGCCAGGUGCCGCCUGUCCGCCCCAGUGGUGAGUACGUGGCGCGCAUUUGGCCCUUUCAAGGGGAGCGUAUCUGCACUUUAUUGUGUGGUGCGGGAUCCUUGACUUUUACUUUGAGGAAAUAGGAGUGUUCCAAGCAGGCUCUCGUCGUGCACAGCUCAGCAUGGAAUAAUAGCAUUGGACCUCGAUUCUAAGCUGUUGGUUGCCAGAAGCGAGGUAAUGAUGAAGAGGGACAGACGGGGGGCAUUCGUAUUACGGUGUUAGAGGUGAAAUUCUUGGAUCGCCGUAAGACGAACUACUGCGAAAGCAUUUGCCAAGCAUGUUUUCCUUAAUCAAGAACGAAAGUCAGAGGUUCGAAGACGAUUAGAU
rnacentral:rRNA from 1 species